rnacentral:rRNA from 1 species
UACGGGGGGGGCAAGCGUUGUUCGGAAUUACUGGGCGUAAAGGGCUCGUAGGCGGCCAACUAAGUCAGACGUGAAAUCCCUCGGCUUAACCGGGGAACUGCGUCUGAUACUGGAUGGCUAGAGUUUGGGAGAGGGAUGCGGAAUUCCAGGUGUAGCGGUGAAAUGCGUAGAUAUCGGGAGGAACACCAGUGGCGAAGGCGGCGAUCUGGGCAGAUACUGACGCUGAGGUGCGAAAGCGUGGGGAGCAAACAGG